GACGAACUGUGCGAGCGUUAUUCGGAGUCACUGGGCUUAAAGCGCGCGUAGGCGGCAUCGUAAGUUCGGGGUGAAAUCCCAUCGGCUCAACCGUGGAAUAGCCCUGAAGACUGCGAAGCUUGAGUAAGGUAGGGGUGUGUGGAACUUCCGGUGGAGCGGUGAAAUGUGUUGAUAUCGGAAGGAACGCCGGUGGCGAAAGCGACACACUGGGCCUUAACUGACGCUGUGGCGCGAAAGCCAGGGGAGCAAACGGG
rnacentral:rRNA from 1 species